CCUUGUACACACCGCCCGUCACACCAUGGGAGUCGACUGCUCCAGAAGUGGCCGUGCCAACCCGCAAGGGAGGCAGGUCCCCAAGGAGGGGUCGGUAACUGGGGUG
rnacentral:rRNA from 1 species